rnacentral:rRNA from 1 species
CAAAAUCAAUAGCCACUACCCACAACCCACAAACCUAUCAGGCCUACUAUCCAACAACACUGGCUAAUAUUUUUAGGUUGGGGCGACCUUGGAGAAAAACAAACCCUCCAAAAAUAAGGCCAAAUCCCUUAACCAAGAGCAACCCCUCAACGUACUAACAGUACCCAGACCCAAUAAAAUUGACCAAUGAACCAAGCUACCCCAGGGAUAACAGCGCAAUCUCCUCCAAGAGCCCCUAUCGACGAGGAGGUUUACGACCUCGAUGUUGGAUCAGGACAUCCUAGUGGUGCAGCCGCUACUAAGGGUUCGUUGUCACGAUAAUGU